CGUAAGUAUGAUACAGAUUUCAUGUCAUGUAUUGAGAUUUGGUUCGCAAUGAGCAUAUGAGAAUUAUAUUAUUAUCUUGAAAAGCAUGUUUUUUUUUUUGUUUUUUUUUUCAUCUAAGUAAUUUUACAAUAUGAUACAUAAAGUUAUAUAUCAUCUAAGUAAAUCCAUUGGAGUCAAUGGCUAGUAUGCUUGUCUAAUCGUCUAUAAAAGAAAUGAUAGGAAACAAUGUUUAGCUUAGGUGACCACUGAAGACUC
rnacentral:lncRNA from 1 species